GCGCCUUAGGUCGUGAGGAAAGGUGGAGGGAAGGCGUCUCUCAGGGAAGGAUUUUGGUGUGGAUUGGUGAUGGAGUGAGUUUGUGGAGGUAUUAGUGGUGUAGCGGUAUAACCUUGAUAUCCAGGAUCAGUCGUGCCGUCGUGACUGGUGCUCCUGGACACUGGUUGGAGUCCUGUCCACGGCGGAGUGUUGAGGUCACUGAUCGAGGGUGACCCACUGACACUGUUGUGCAUCGCAUUGGGGGGAAUUAUGCCAAGUCGGUGUCGCCGCCUGUCCAUGCAGCCCGCCCAACUAGCCAAGAACUCCUUCAUUCACCCAUAUGGCUGGCAUAAGGCAAUCAUUGCCUUGAUUGGUGUAUUUCAUAUCAAGGCUUACAAAGAUUGACUAUUGUUGACUCAAAUGUGCCUAAAUAGUAUAAAAACCUUUCCAUGGGAACUCAGAAUCAGAUUCCUUCCCACAAAAUGCCUUAAUAUAAAAUUAUGAUUGUGAAACGAAAAUGUUCCCUCCAGGGAACAUUGUUGAUAUAUCUAUGAACAAAAUAAAAUAUUCUUCUAA